CCUACGGGAGGCUGCAGUGAGGAAUAUUGGUCAAUGGGCGCGAGCCUGAACCAGCCAAGUCGCGUGAGGGAAGACGGUCCUAUGGAUUGUAAACCUCUUUUGUCGGGGAGCAAAAGACGCCACGCGUGGCGUUCCGAGAGUACCCGAAGAAAAAGCAUCGGCUAACUCCGUGCCAGCAGCCGCGGUAAUACGGAGGAUGCGAGCGUUAUCCGGAUUUAUUGGGUUUAAAGGGUGCGUAGGCGGAAUGCCAAGGCAGCGGUAAAAUGGCGGGGCUCAACCUCGCUCCGCCGUUGAAACUGGCGUUCUUGAGUGGGCGAGAAGUAUGCGGAAGGCGUGGUGGAGCGGUGAAAUGCAUAGAUAUCACGCAGAACUCCGAUUGCGAAGGCAGCAUACCGGCGCCCGACUGACGCUGAGGCACGAAAGCGUGGGGAUCGAACAGGAUUAGAUACCCGAGUAGUC
rnacentral:rRNA from 1 species